AAAAAAACCCUAAAAUUCUCUCUUCUCCCUCACUUCCUAGCCGAAGGACUAAAACCCAGAUCUCAUUCGCUGCCUCAUGCGCGGCCGUAAAUAGCCAUCGGAAGGCCGAAGUUCUCCCUCUUUUGCCAGCGACUUGAAAGGUACGUCUCUCCCUUUUAUAAAAUAUUAGUUUGUAUUUCGUGGACUCAAAUGAAAAUGGAAAAAAAAAGGAAAAACGGAAUAAAAUAAUGAUUAACAACCACCUUUUGAAGUGUAUUCGUUUGGCUGAUCUCUUAUUGAUUUUUCUGUGUAUAUUUUGUAUUAAAAAAUUGUCCAUUUUACAAUGAAAAAUGAAGGCUUUAUAGCCAAAAUACAAACAGUUUCUGCCUAUUUCUUUGCUCAAGUCGCAGGUGCUGUGAAAUCGUGGAGGAAGAGUGCAUGAUCGUGCAACGUGCGAGUUAAGAACCUGUUCGUGGGUGUUGAAGCGUGGGAGUUGCGGAGUAGGUAAAUGGAACCCUAGGGUUUGCUAUUUUUUGAAAAAAUUUGGGUCAUUGGGCUUGUAAUCGGGCCUUUUAAUUUUAGUGAUUUGAGUCUGUAUCUUGGGCCGGGCAAAAUUUGAGCCCUACACACAAAUUUGUUGAAACUUGUCAUCAUUACAAGUUAGCGAGUAAUGAAUCAAUUGACCAUCGUUUUAUCAUUUUCAUUGUCUAAAGCAUUAAGGACGAAAUUAUAUUAGUUUUUAUAAUUGAUAAUUUAAAUUUAGUUUAUAAACAAUUUAUUUUGGAAUUCGCACAAAUAAUUUUCGACUUUAUUAGAUUAGUAAUUGCUUAACUUGCAAUUAACUUGAUAAACACAUUUAUCAAUUUGGCAAUCCCUUGAGUUCGAUCUUUGGAAUACUCGAAGUGUUCUAUUGUAACACUUAUAAAUAUUACAAAUGAUCUGUCACACUUGUAGUAAGCUUGUAAAUGUUAUGUUUUGGCUCGAAGCUAGGUACAAUGAUGGAUCGAGUUAAGAAUUAGUGGAGAAUUUUUUAAAUAGAACAAAUAGAAAAUUUAAGUGUGAAAUUAGAAAGUAUUUAGACGGAAUUAGAUAAUACUCCUUAGAUAGGAAAAUUUUGAAUAGAAGCAUUGACUAAAUUGAAAGAGUAUAGAAAUUAUUGUGGUGAAAGUAUGAAAUUAGAAAG
rnacentral:lncRNA from 1 species